rnacentral:misc_RNA from 1 species
UUUCCGUAGGUGAACCUGCGGAAGGAUCAUUAUUGUAUAACCGAGGUGCGAGGGCUGUCGCUGACCCGAAAGGUCGUGCACGCCCGAGUGCACUCACACACAUCCCUCUCACCCCUAUGUGCACCACCGCGUGGGUCCCCCUUUGGCUUGUUCGGAGGGGGUCUUACGUUUUCACACAAACUUUGUAUGCAGUGUAGAAUGUAUUUUUUGUUUUUGCGAUCACGCAAUCAAUACAACUUUCAGCAACGGAUCUCUUGGCUCUC